CACGUAGGGGGCAAGCGUUGUCCGGAUUUACUGGGCGUAAAGGGCGCGUAGGCGGUUUGUUAAGUCGGCUGUGAAAGCCCGGGGCUCAACCCUGGGAUGCCGGUCGAUACUGCCGGACUAGAGUUCGGAAGAGGCGAGUGGAAUUCCCGGUGUAGCGGUGAAAUGCGCAGAUAUCGGGAGGAACACCAAUGGCGAAGGCAGCUCGCUGGGACGUUACUGACGCUGAGACGCGAAAGCGUGGGGAGCAAACAGG
rnacentral:rRNA from 1 species